rnacentral:tRNA from 1 species
GGCUUUAUAUUCUAAUUUAAAAUGAUGUUAGAUUGCAAAUCUAAAAAUGCUUUAUAAUAAUAAGCUAAGGCUU